ensembl:lncRNA
UCUCAGUAGUACCCCUCACCAUUAGCAUUUCAACUUGGAUUUGGGGGGAUUUUGUGAAUCUGUAAACAAAGUUUGAAGCAGGGCAAUGUGGGGAGGUAAUAAAGCCUCCACUGUACGACGAACAUAGAACAAUGUGGAGCUGCCUUAAGGAAUCUGUGACCAAGCUUUGCCUACAAAAGGCUGUUCUUCACAGAUGGGAGGAGCCCUCCCCACGUCAUAUUUUUAGACUCCAGUCGGAACUUUGAAUUUGUGAAUACACAAGGUUAAUAGAUGGUGAUGUGUACACCUGUGAGGACGUCAGGUUGCUGAUCACAGGAAUUGAGACAGACUUUUUGCAAGUUUUAGGUUUGAAAAUGAAAAACCCUGAAAAUGUGUUUAGCUUUCAGUUACGCAUAGAAACCUGGAACACUUUUUAUACCAAAGACAGCUUUUAGUGUUGAGCAUAAGGACAAGGUUUUGUUAAAAAAAUUUUAACAUUUAAAAAUGAUAAAUGAAUGUGAGAAGCAUCUAAACAUUUGUUUCAUCUCUCUCCAUAACUUCAGAUAGUUCAGAAAGAAACUAAAGCAUUAUAUUACAUAUUUUACAAGAUCACAUUCUAAAUAUACUUGUACAAUAAGGCUAUUGAUAAUUUUAAGGUUAUUUUUAUUUGCAUUUAUAUGGAAUUGUACCUCAAUAGUAAACGCUCAGGAGUCCAUUGCUGGUUAAAUAUAGUUGCUCCAUGCCCGGAUGCAACUCUAUAACCCACAACACAAAAUGUCAGCACAAUUUAAACAAUGGAUGUCAUGUGUACAGAAUGAACAAUGUAAAAGGUGUACACUACAUUCAAUUCCAUUCAAAACAGUGUGUCUUGUGACACACUAGAGGAGCCAUACAAACAAGACGGUUAACCAUCAUUAUUUUGUUGCACGUUAAAAAGCUGCUCUAUAUAAUGUCACAAUGUGCUGUUCUCAAAUGGACUCAGAUGUCAUAAGUGAUCCUGUGACUGCUCCAUUAAGGCCUCACUGUGUUGUGCUGCCACUAUCAGAAGUCAUGCUAAUUAGUGGUUUUGGUGAAAUGCACGAAGACCCAUAGGGGAAACGCCCGACACAAAGAUUCGUUGUUACUUCUACAGUUAUUGAUGCGGUGGUUGGAAAUGUCCUCUUUGUAAAGAGAGGUGGAACGAGCUCUCUGAAGACAUCAGGACCGCAGAGAGCCUUAACGUCUUCAGACUAAAGACACACCUCUUGAGACUCUAACUCGACUAAAAGACUAACAAAUUGUAGCACUUACAUUGUACUUAUAAUGCCACUUAUCUAUAGCAAAUUGUAAAUUGGUUUAUUUCACAAAAUUUCCUGUUUCUUGUUUCUUGCUCUUGAGUUUGUACCCCUAUGGUUGAAUGCACUUAUUUUAAGUCACUUUGGAUAAAAGCGUCAGCUAAAUGACAUGUAAUGUAAAUGUAAAUAAUUUGGCUAUACAUAGAUACACACAUUUGUUUUUGUUCUUUAAUUAUUAUUUGAAUUAUUUGAAAGGCGUCAGCUAAAUGACAUGUAAUGUAAUGAUGUUUUGAGUAUGAUGCAUAAUCUAAAUCCACACAGCACAGAGUUCGUAGGUGAGAUAAUUUAGAUUCAUUAUAGAAUAUAAUACUAUGCCAAUAAUGUAUGGAUACACAGAAACCUACACUGUAAAACAUUACCUGGUCUCUGCAAUAAAUAACCUGUCAUGUCACCAUAAACAAUAGUAUAUAUCAAACAAAAUGAUUAGUUGAUACCGUAGUCACACGUAGUACCAUGCCAGGUGGUGCAGGAUCUAAGUGAUCUUGUAAGUCUGCUACAAGGACCAGGUCUCUGUGGUAAGACGCCUCCGAUCCCAGUUGGACUUGGUGUUACAAUAAAUAUCAUUUAAAUCCCAAAAUAGAUAUCUGUAACCUUUAUCAGCAGAAAACAACAUGUUGUCCAAUGCUGAUCUAUCUGAGUUUGGGAGUGAUGUCACUGCUACCCCCUGUCCUUUGGGUGACUCGACCCCCCCCCCCGGUCUGGUCCUGUGGUGCCCCCUCUGUCAGUGGGUUAAUGAUCGUCCAUGUCCAGUGAUGGAGCCCGAAGCAGAUCACUGACUUGAAUAAAAUAAAGGGCCAGUGCUUGAGACCCCGUUGUGGGGGAUGGGUCAUGGGGAGAGGGGGCGGGGGUACUCUGGACACAUGAAGCCUAACAUUGUGCAGCUUCCACAAUGGACACACUGUCGACACGAUGCGGCUAAUGAAAUUAGCCGGGAGAUGGUGCAUAAAUUCCCCCAGAAAUCCUCUGAUGAGCGAGUGUUGGACCCAAGUGAGGGUGGCGGGUGGACUGGGCACGCAGUGACCUGUCACACACACUGAAGAGCCCGUUAUUCAGAGUACAGACUCUCGCCCUAAGGACCUGGGCUUUAUCCCGCAGGCUGGAGUUCGGAGGUCACAAAGGAGACAUGAUGUGAGCGAGGUCAAUCCUCCAUUAUGAGCUUUACAAGUUGGACUGUUGCUUUAUUUUAACACGCAGUCAUGGUCACAUGCACACACUGGAAGAUGAUUUGACCAUCAAAUAAAAUGACCAACAAAUAUAAGAAACUAUGACCAACUGGUCACAAGAUGUCACAUUAAUGCUAAAUUACUGCAAGGCUAGCAGCAAAGCUAACUGUCUCACAAUCAUCAAUCAACACAGGCAUAAAUGCAUCAGCUUCAUGUGAAAUACAUAAUAAGAGGACUAAACAUUUUGUAAUAUCUAACAACGUAUUUCAUUUUUGUGGAACUUUUGUGUGUGCGUGUGUGUGUUUGUGUGACUGCUGGCAGUAGACAGAAGGUCAUUGGACUAAUCUCUGGUGGGGACAAGUCUGCCUACAGGUGGGAGUCUGACCAUCUGGUGUCGUGGUGCAGCCAGAACAACCUGGAGCUCAACGCUCUAAAGACAGUGGAGAUGGUUGUGGAUUUCCGGCGGAACAGAGCCCCACCCUCCCCCAUCACCCUGUGUGACUCCCCCGUCACUAUUGUGGAUUCCUUCCGUUUCCUGGGCUCCAUCAUCACCCAGGACCUCAAGUGGGAGCUGAACAUCAGCUCCAUCACCAAGAAGGCUCAGCAGAGGUUGUUCUUCCUGAGGCAGCUGAAGAAACUCAACCUGCCAAAGACGAUGAUGGUCCACUUCUACACGGCCAUCAUCGAGUCCAUCCUCUGCUCCUCCAUCACCGUCUGGUACGCUGCAGCCACAGCCAAGGACAAGGGCAGGCUGCAGCGUGUCAUCCGCUCUGCAGAGAGGGUGAUCGGCUGCAAUCUGCCGUCCCUGCAGGACUUGUUCGCUUCCAGGUCUCUGAAGCGAGCUAAAAAGAUGGUAGCCGACCCCUCUCACCCCGGACAAAAACUGUUUGUGCCCCUUCCAUCUGGGAGGACAAUGAGGUCCAUCAGGACCAAGACCUCACGCCACACAACAGUUUCGUCCCGUCGGCAGUCGGGCUCAUCAACAGAGCCCGGUCCCCCACUGAGACUGGUUAUCUGCCAGUGCACUUUAUUUUUAACUUUUUAAUUUUAAUUAAAUUUUCUUUU